rnacentral:rRNA from 1 species
AUGGAGGAAGGAGCCGAUCUCAUCAGCGCCCUCCCGGAGGAUCUGCUUCUCCAGGUCCUCGCCCGCCUCCGCUGCGCCCGCGCCGCCGCGCGCACCAGCCUCCUCUCCCGCCGGUGGAGCCGCCUCUGGACCCGUCUCACCGGUUUCACCUUCCGCGACCUCGCGCUCCACUCGCUCAAAUCGGCGCUCGACUCCCUCGUCCACGCCCCAGGCGUGUUCCUCCUCGACAUCCACUCCGAGGUGCCCCCGCCUGUUCCUCGGCGUGAGCUGCUAUACUACCUGCAGUACGCGGCCGGCGUCUCCUCACUGCUCCGCGCCGCCGCGGGGCUCUCGCCGGUGGAGCUCCGCCUAAAGGUCUCUCUCGGCCCACUUGCCCGCUUGACACCUGACUUAUUAUUGUGCUAUCCCCCAAAGGUGGACCUCCCCUGCUUCCACCGAGCCACCUCCAUCGACCUAUCUGGGUUGGAGUUGGAGUUGGACCUCUCCCUCUUGGCCGACCCACCGGCAAGCUGCUACAUGUUCCCCGCUCUGGAGGUGCUGUCCCUCUCUCGCUGCUGCGUGGACGUUGCCGACUUGCUCCUCCAUUGUCCGCGCCUGCGCGUGCUAAGGGCGACCGACUGUUCGCUCGGCGACGCCAUCCGCUCGGCGUCCCUGCAGGAGCUCGUUCUAGAGGUCAAGACAGGGAGUGUGGAUAUCGAGGUUGUUAUGGUGGAGAAGGUUCUGUGGCUAUGCCACUAUUCCAAGGUAGCUGCUGGGAUUGGCCUUUGGGGCCUUGCGAUGGUGAGGUUAGAGACGGGGAGCAAUGUCCUGUGCCUGUGGAUGGACUGUCUUCACUCAUUUAGUUUUCCACACACCGAGCUCAGCCUUGCGCAAGAAAUAGAGAAACAUUUACAUCCAGUGGUUUGUAACUUCUCUGUUUUAGAUCUACAUUUCAACUCUUUCAAAACAAGCGGGCACGCCUUUGGAGCAUUUGUGUUUCACCUCCUGGCGAUUCAUCGGAUUCGUACUGCUACAAAAAUUCUUAAGAUAGGACUGGGGGAGAAAGCAAUAGCAUGCCCAGUAAAUUGUCCCUGUGAUGAGCCUAAGAACUGGAGAAGCGAAACUAUCACCUUGAUCAAUCUUGAAGAAGCGGAAAUCAAUGUCUUUGAAGGACAUGAGCAUGAGUUUGAUUUCUUGAGACAAAUAUUCAAAUGCACACCAAUGCUGAAAAGAAUAGCUGUGAAGCUUUCAGAUGAUGUCACAGCAAGUAACGGUUUGUGCACAAAAAUAUAUGACAUCUUCAAGGAGUACGUGGAAUGCAGUGUUGUUCCUAACUCUGACUGCCCGUCAAAAACUGUUGCAAACACGCUCUAUCUAUCUAGCCGUUGCAUGCCAACUGAUCGCCAUGCACAUUUACCAUCGGCAGGCACAAGGCUGGUGACCGCGCAACUUCAUGACAGGACAGCAAGACAGCCGGUGCCGCUCUCCAAUUUCAAGGGCAUGCCGUUCCUCUCAGCUUGCACGGAGGGGUGGGACGGGAACGGGAACCGUCCGUCUGUUCGUCCCAUCUUGUGCUUGGGUCGUGACAAUUUGGUAUUCAGAGCCAACAAAAAAAUCACCACCCACUUCUUGCCUACCAUAUGUUCGACGAAAUGUCCAGCCAACCCGAGGUGUUCACCGGCGGCGUUCUCUGCGUCACCGUGCACCAUGUGUACUAACCUGGUCACUGAGGAGACACUACAGCAGGUGUUUGCCGUGUAUGGUGUGUUGAAGGUCGUCGUGUUCCAGAGAAUCCACCAUGUGGAGGCAGUGGUUCAGCUUCGAUCAAAAGUCGGGGCGGCGCGGGCUCUCGCCUUGCAUGGUCGGUGUGUCUACGAGCACGCCUGCCUCCUUGACAUCCAGGACUUGUCGCCGGAGUAUAACCUGCACUUGUGCUCGCUGCUGGAUCUCAAGCAGACCACAACCGUGGCCGAGUACACGACGGCAUUCUGGGAACGAGUACAUCGUGUGCUGGAUCUCAACUCCACUAUAAGCAUCAAGUGCUUCGUACACCAGUACGUCCAGGGCUUGCGCACGGAUAUUCAAGCAGCCGUGCAGUCGCAAACGCCGUCUAGCAUCACCAGAGCGUCGUGCCUUGCUCGGAUAAGGGAGGAAGAGAUCAUGAAGGAUGAACUGAUGGGCUCCGAGAAGCGUGGUGAUGGCCACGACCAUGAAGUACAAGACCAUGGCAUCGGCGACAGCAGGCUUGCUGCUCCAACAACGACCAUGCGCUCCACAGAGUGCCCGAGUUCUGACGCCACUGUCAACAUAUUUCCCGAGCUUGCCUCCCCUGCUGUGUGCGACGAGGCCCUCGACAUCAACACCGUCCACAUCACUGCACCAACGCCCGCCAUCUGCUCGACCGGUGGUCUGGCCCAUGGUAAUGAUGACGAUGGCCCAAUGUCAGUGUCCAUGGUACUCUGGACUACACCACUGGCUACACCUCCACCGCAGCGCCCGGUUCCUGACCUCGAACUCAUCACAACAACUCCCACGAGUUGUUGGUUAAAAAGCUAUGUCGAGGCUGCCUACGUGUUGACACCAGUGCCCAGAACAAAUCUGACAAUGGUUCUGAAUGCACAAGGACAGGUGAUCCGGCCAGUACCAUGGCCUUCGUUCUUCAGCAAGCAUAUCAAUACAGCUCAGGGCAAUAUUGCCGAGUCGCCAUCAAGCGCCACAACUGUGUCGAGCAGGUAUGUGGUUCGUUGUUCGACCUUGCCACCACUCCAUGUCAAGGUGAAUAUGGGGUGUGUCCGAAUGUUGCUGGAGUCAGCUGCAGGUCCUUCUCUGAUGUUAUCUCAGGUUACCUUUGUGUUGAAAGCAAUUGUCUCCUUUGUGAGGCUGAAUCCAACUAAAGAAAGUAUCCACAAUUUUAUUGAUCAUGCAAGAAAGUCACAGUUACUAGACCUCCUGUGCGAGUUUCUGAUAGCUUCAGGUUCAGACAUAAAAUCAGGUUCCAUAAAUAUGGUACUAGCAGCACGUGAGACAUGCAAGACUAAUUGGUAUAUGGCUCACGCAGUUGACAUUUUGUCCAUGGGUGCACAACAUUUUUCACUUCCUUUAGUUAGCUCAUGGCGACAAGGUCACAUGGAGAUGGAUGAUGUGUUCCAGAUGCUUAAGAAAUGGUGCCCACAUAACCAAUAUGUGCAGCUGGCCUGUACAAUUUAUGAAGCUCACAACGAGUUCCAUGCUACCAGCGAGUUCAUGUUUAUUGUCCUCUACCUCUGGCUGAACCUCCUGAUUGUGGCGACGGAGGCAGAGGCAAACGGCCGACAGCGAGAGGCGGGAGUAGUAGGAUUUCAAAUUCAAAAUCCUCCUGCUCCUGGGCGAGGAAAAGCUCCAGCGCCUGGGCACCUCCCGCUCCAGCCCCGGGCACCUCGCCGCUCCGGCCCCUUGGCACCUCGCCGCUCCCGGCCCUGGGCACCUCGCCGCUCCAGCCCCCAGCGCCUCCUCGCCCAGGCCCCCAGCUCCUCCACACCUAGCGCAUCCUGUUGCUCGCUGCGUUCCGGGCUGCAGCAAAUUCAAGAGAAAUCAGUAGAGAAGAUUACAGGGAAGAGGCUUGGUUCAUGCUGCUGUAGGAAGAUUACAAAGACAAGGAGUAAAGAUUACAGCACAUCUCCGAAGAUGGUUCUCCCGGAUCUAAACUGCACUCCACCCGGACAAGAAGAAGAAGAUGUUAAUAUGCAAGAUGAAAAUGUGAAUAUGCAAGAUGAAGAACCAGCACAAAUUGCUCUUGGUCAGGAGGUGAACAUGUCAAGCCAGAAAAAAGGAAAAGUUGGCAGAAAAGCGGCUGAUGGCUUUCUAUCACAAAUCCCCACAGUUCCACUAAACAGAAGGUCAAGCAUAAGAUCACUUGCUGCUGCACUGGGUGUUAGUCGGACCACGCUACACAGGACAUUCCAGCUAAAAAAGGUAAGGAGGCACUCCAACAGGGUGAAGCCCCCUUUGAAAGAGAAGAAUAAGAGAGAAAGGGUUCAAUUCUGCAUGUCUAUGCUUGACCAAAGAACCCUAGGGAAUGAAAGAAUUAGCUUCAAUAGUAUGCACAAUAUUGUGCAUAUCGAUGAAAAGUGGUUCCUUAUGACUAAAAGGGACAGAAACUACUACCUAUUGCCGGAUGAAGAAGACCCGGACAACGCAAGGACACACAUUCUGCCUAAUGAUGCUGAGUUCGCACAAGCAGUGGCUGAGACCGGUAUGGACAUCAAACUGAUGCAACAGCCCCCAAAUUCUCCCGACUUGAACGCUCUUGACCUUGGUUACUUCAGAUCCCUCGAGUCUCUAACGGACUGCAGAGCCCCUACCACCAUUCCGGAGCUAAUUCAAGGGGUCCAGGAAGAAUUUGAUGACUAUGAAGUUGGAAAGCUCAACAGAAUCUUCCUCACACUUCAAACAUGUAUGAGAAUCUGGAACAAGAUGAACACUGAAGAGAGGCUAGUUGCUUGUGAUCAGAGGCUUUGUGUGGAGAGGCUAGUUGCUUGUGAUCAGAGGCUUUGUGUGGAGAGGCUAGUUGCUUGUGAUCAGAGGCUUUGUGUGGAGAGGCUAGUUGCUUGUGAUCAGAGGCUUUGUGUGGAGAGGCUAGUUGCUUAUGAUCAGAGGCUUUGUGUGGAGAGGCUAGUUGCUUGUGUGGAGAGGCUUGUGAUCCAUAUGUUUGUAGUCCUUGUGAAGUGUAAUCCAUACUCCAUAUAUUGUUACUCCAUAUAUUUGUUGAUGAUGUGGAUAACUCCAUUGUGGAUUUCUCAAAAGUUGUUUCUGAAUUUAGUUUCCGAAUUCAAAGAGAGGAGAGGAGAGCUCUCGCACUACAUCAUCUACUCUAAAUUUUCAGAGUACUACCACCAGAAGUACUCUGCAUUUCUGCAUCAUCUUCCAAGUACUCCUCUAAGUGCUUGGGAAAUUUUUCCACAAGCUUCUCUAAAGGGGUAG